rnacentral:rRNA from 1 species
CAGCAGCCACGGGAAUACGAAGGGGGCUAGCGUUGUUCGGAAUUACUGGGCAUAAAGCGCACGUAGGCGGAUAUUUAAGUCAGGGGUGGAAUCCCAGAGCUCAACUCUGGAACUGCCUUUGAUACUGGGUAUCUUGGGUAUGGAAGAGGUGAGUGGAAUUCCAAGUGUAGAGGUGAAAUUCGUAGAUAUUCGGAGGAACACCAGUGGCGAAGGCGGCUCACUGGUACAUUACUGACGCUGAGGUGCGAAAGCGUGGGGAGCAAACAGGAUUAGAUACCCCUGUAGUCCCUGUCUCUUAUAC